GUAAUGCUUAGGAAUCUGCCUAUUAGUGGGGGACAACAUCUCGAAAGGGAUGCUAAUACCGCAUACGUCCUACGGGAGAAAGCAGGGGACCUUCAGGCCUUGCGCUAAUAGAUGAGCCUAAGUCGGAUUAGCUAGUUGGUGGGGUAAAGGCCUACCAAGGCGACGAUCUGUAGCGGGUCUGAGAGGAUGAUCCGCCACACUGGGACUGAGACACGGCCCAGACUCCUACGGGAGGCAGCAGUGGGGAAUAUUGGACAAUGGGGGGAACCCUGAUCCAGCCAUGCCGCGUGUGUGAAGAAGGCCUUUUGGUUGUAAAGCACUUUAAGCGAGGAGGAGGCUACCGAGAUUAAUACUCUUGGAUAGUGGACGUUACUCGCAGAAUAAGCACCGGCUAACUCUGUGCCAGCAGCCGCGGUAAUACAGAGGGUGCAAGCGUUAAUCGGAUUUACUGGGCGUAAAGCGCGCGUAGGUGGCCAAUUAAGUCAAAUGUGAAAUCCCCGAGCUUAACUUGGGAAUUGCAUUCGAUACUGGUUGGCUAGAGUAUGGGAGAGGAUGGUAGAAUUCCAGGUGUAGCGGUGAAAUGCGUAGAGAUCUGGAGGAAUACCGAUGGCGAAGGCAGCCAUCUGGCCUAAUACUGACACUGAGGUG
rnacentral:rRNA from 1 species